GAUGAACGCUGGCGGUAUGCCUAACACAUGCAAGUCGUACGAGAGUUUUUAACUCUAGUGGCGGACGGGUGAGUAACACGUGAGAAUUUGCCUUUAGGAGGGGGAUAACAAUUGGAAACGAAUGCUAAUACCCCAUAUGCUUUCGAGUGAAAUGGAUUUAUAUUUAUCCGCCUAGAGAGAAGCUCGCGGCUGAUUAGCUUGUUGGUAAGGUAAGAGCUUACCAAGGCGACGAUCAGUAUCUGGUUUGAGAGGACGAUCAGACACACUGGAACUGAGACACGGUCCAGACUCCUACGGGAGGCAGCAGUGGGGAAUUUUCCGCAAUGGGCGAAAGCCUGACGGAGCAAUACCGCGUGAGGGAAGACUGCCUAUGGGUUGUAAACCUCUUUUUUCAGGGAGGAAUAAAAUGACGUGU
rnacentral:rRNA from 1 species